UGAGCGCUGGCGGUAGGCCUAACACAUGCAAGUCGAACGGCAGCACAGUAAGAGCUUGCUCUUACGGGUGGCGAGUGGCGGACGGGUGAGGAAUACAUCGGAAUCUACUUUUUCGUGGGGGAUAACGUAGGGAAACUUACGCUAAUACCGCAUACGACCUACGGGUGAAAGCAGGGGAUCUUCGGACCUUGCGCGAUUGAAUGAGCCGAUGUCGGAUUAGCUAGUUGGCGGGGUAAAGGCCCACCAAGGCGACGAUCCGUAGCUGGUCUGAGAGGAUGAUCAGCCACACUGGAACUGAGACACGGUCCAGACUCCUACGGGAGGCAGCAGUGGGGAAUAUUGGACAAUGGGCGCAAGCCUGAUCCAGCCAUACCGCGUGGGUGAAGAAGGCCUUCGGGUUGUAAAGCCCUUUUGUUGGGAAAGAAAAGCAGCAGGUUAAUACCCCGCUGUUCUGACGGUACCCAAAGAAUAAGCACCGGCUAACUUCGUG
rnacentral:rRNA from 1 species